rfam:Apaloderma vittatum contig92793, whole genome shotgun sequence.
GGCCGGUUAGCUCAGUGGUUUGAGCGCGGUGCUGACAAUGAACCAACACCGAGGUCACGGGUUCGAUUCCUGCUCUGUCCC